UACGUAGGGACCGAGCGUUGUCCGGAUUCAUUGGGCGUAAAGAGCUCGUAGGCGGCUGUUCAAGUCGAACGUGAAAACUCGGAGCUCAACUCCGAGCCUGCGUUCGAUACUGGACGGCUAGAGUCUGGUAGGGGGAUCUGGAAUUCCUGGUGUAGCGGUGGAAUGCGCAGAUAUCAGGAAGAACACCGGUGGCGAAGGCGGCUCUCUGGGCCUUACCUGACGCUGAGGAGCGAAAGCGUGGGUAGCGAACAGG
rnacentral:rRNA from 1 species